rnacentral:lncRNA from 1 species
GGUGUAAGAGUUGAUGCUAAAGUUUUAUAGUUGAUGAUGCAGUAAUAAACUUGCACAAGUAAGUAUUAGGUUUUCAGGUAGUAAAAUUAUUGUCUGUGACAUCCAUUCAACAUUUUUAUGUGAAGGUAAUGUUCUUAAUCAAUUGGAGAUUUGAUUUGUUAAGAAUUAGAAGAAGUUUCAAUGUUGAUAUACUAGGGUCAUGACGCAUGAGUAUCACUGCCUAUUGCUAAAUCUAUGGCAAUGAUAGAGAACGAUUGCAUAAAUAGCAAAGACAGAUUAGUGGGAUCCUCUAUUGAGAGAGCAAUUGUGCAUAACCACAAUGCACGUUCAAUAGGUAUAACUUCGAAUAAGCAAUUUUAGCAAUCACUUGCCAAUAAGUCAUGACUAAAAUGUCCCUAUUGAGUUUUCUUCAAAAACUAUUAAUGGAACAAUUCCCUGAUUAAUUUAUUGUGAAAUAGUUUGUUUGGCUAUAUGUUUUAUAAUGUCACGGAGAUCGAGAAUCAGAUUUAGAUCAAUUAUGAAUCUAUAUAUAUAUAUAUAAGUAGGCAAUAGAAAAGUGAGGCGGCACCUCUCUUUGGCCAAGAAACCUAUUUAUCUUUUUUCUCCAUUUUUUGGUUUUUCCCUUUAUUCUUUACAUUUAGUUUAUGUUAAAAAGCCUAAAAAUCUCUAUUAAACACUAAUUGUUACUUUCCACCUUCCCUAUAAUAAAUGUUGUUUAAUGUAUGUUUUACUAUAUCAAAUGUAGGAGAUCUCUGACCAUGUCCAAAGUAACGAAGUUGAGGUAGAGUAGUCCAAAAUUUCAGAUUGAUGGCUUGAUCUCCUCGGGAAACAAGAGUACAUAGAAGAUGGCUUAGAAGGCUAUGACACAGACCUUCUGGAAUGGAGGCAAUAAACGAUGAAGUGUGUAAUCAUCCUUCUGUUGAUGGUGGUAUGAUGUGGUUAUAACUUCAUUAUUAUCCUUACAUUUUCCUUCUCUUUCUUAAAUUGGAGUAGAAAACUUCAAUUUAUUUCCUGACAUUCCCCAAAUCCAUUUUGAUUUGGAAAAACUUCUGAUGAACUAAUAAUGCAUUAAUUAUUUUAACACUAGUGCAUAGAUAAGUUUGAACUUAUAUAUUGAAUACUUUCUCGAAGUUCUUGUAAUAAAUGCCAAAACGUGCAUGUACUUCUUCUGAUCUUUAAAACCAGAAUAACAAGAUUUUUAUUGAAAGAAUCCUCUGACGAACCACAUGGCUUCUUUUGAGCCACGUUUUAUCAAUUUGGUUUCACUCAGAAAGUGAAACUACGGUUCGUGGCUUCGUGCACCUUGACUGUAUCUUUUUUCUCCAUUUUUUGAUUUUUCCCUUUAUUCUUUACAUUUAGUUUAUGUUAAAAAGCCUAAAAAUCUCUAUUAAACACUAACUGUUACUUUCCACCUUCCCUAUAAUAAAUGUUGUUUAAUGUAUGUUUUACUAUAUCAAAUGUAGGAGAUCUCGGACCAUGUCCAAAGUAACGAAGUUGAGGUAGAGUAGUCCAAAAUUUCAGAUUGAUGGCUUGAUCUCCUCGGGAAACAAGAGUAGAUAGAAGAUGGCUUAGAAGGCUAUGACACAGACCUUCUGGAAUUGAGGCAAUAAACGAUGAAGUGUGUAAUCAUCCUUCUGUUGAUGGUGGUAUGAUGUGGUUAUAACUUCAUUAUUAUCCUUACAUUUUCCUUCUCUUUCUUAAAUUGGAGUAGAAAACUUCAAUUUAUUUCCUGACCUUCCCAAAAUCCAUUUUGAUUUGGAAAAACUUCUGAUGAACUAAUAAUGCAUUAAUUAUUUUAACACUAGUGCAUAGAUAAGUUUGAACUUAUAUAUUGAAUACUUUCUCGAAGUUCUUGUAAUAAAUGCCAAAACGUGCAUGUACUUC